rnacentral:misc_RNA from 1 species
CGUUCGAGCGUCAUUACACCACUCAAGCCUGGCUUGGUAUUGGGCAUUACAUUCAUUUGUAGGCCUUCAAUUCUUCGGCUGGACGGUACGAAUCUCAGCGUUGUGGUCUAAUCAAAUCGCUGGCGAGGAGGGCCGGACGUCGCCGUAAAACUUCAUUACAGGUUGACCUCGGAUCGGGUAGGGAUACCCGCUGAACUUAA